CCUACGGGGGGCAGCAGUGGGGAAUAUUGCACAAUGGGGGAAACCCUGAUGCAGCGACGCCGCGUGAGUGAAGAAGCGCCUCGGCGCGUAAAGCUCUGUCAGCAGGAACGAUAAUGACGGUACCUGAAGAAGAAGCCCCGGCUAACUACGUGCCAGCAGCCGCGGUAAUACGUAGGGGGCAAGCGUUAUCCGGAUUUACUGGGUGUAAAGGGAGCGUAGACGGCGGGGCAAGUCUGGAGUGAAAGGCCGGGGCCCAACCCCGGGACCGCUCUGGAAACUGCCCGGCUGGAGUGCGGGAGAGGUAAGCGGAAUUCCGUGUGUAGCGGUGAAAUGCGUAGAUAUACGGAGGAACACCAGUGGCGAAGGCGGAUUGCUGGACAGUAACUGACGCUGAGGCGCGAAAGCGUGGGGAGCAAACAGGAUUAGAUACCCGGGUAGUC
rnacentral:rRNA from 1 species